CCCUCCCCCGGGCCGGCGCCGACGCUGGCGACGGCGGCUCCGGCCGUACUCUCCAGCGCACACCUAGCCGCUCCUACUCCUUCUCCUCCCCGCCACCGCUUCCGCCGAUGACGUCCCCAAGUCCGCCGCCGCAGCCUACACGCGCCGGAGAUCCACAGGUGAGAAACCAAAACUGGAUCCUUUGUCCAGCUCCAGCAGGUCAACCUGGUAGUAAUUCCUUGCAAUUUUAUUUUCUGCCCAGCUACGAGACUGGUUGGAUCUAUCACUUAAUGAUGCUGCGCCAUCUUCUCUGCUCAUACUUUCAAGGUAAAUUUGGUUGCAUCGGCAAAAAUAUAAGAGUUUGAGAUCGUGCUGCUACAUUUGAUUUGUUUGCAAUGGGGUGGUUGUGUUUGUGAAGCGAGCUGGGAUGGCUGUUACCACGGCACUGUCAUGUGGUCGCGCUCCAUGACCGGCGGCGUUGCAGACGUGCUGGUGUUCCGCUGCAGAUGCAGCGAGCGCUGCUGCAAGCAGAGCGAUGGGUGUGUAGCAGGAGGAGAACCAUGCGACAGUCGCGUCUGUACAAGUCGAAGGGAUAAUAAUGUUCACGUGUUUGUUUUACACAAAGCUCACUUGAGAACCAUGCGACUAGAAUCGGAUGGAUGGCGAACUGACUGAUUUCCUCCAUUGGAUGACGCCUAGCAGCACCGUUGGCCAAAAGCCGCAUGGAGAAAUUCCCAUUCAUAAUGAUAGAUAUGCUUCAAGAGAUUUGGCACAGUCCCCCCACUCCAACGUGAUGGACGCAUCCCCAUAUGGGCUGGGUUUAGGGGUAAUGGACAGCCCAUACAUGUAGGGCCGGUUGAGGGGUCUGUUUCGUAAAAAAUAGAGUUAAGAUUGGUUACUUGGAUCUCCUCGUUGCUUUGCAGCAUUUCAAAAAGAAGCCGGUUCU
rnacentral:lncRNA from 1 species